AUUGAACGCUGGCGGCAGGCCUAACACAUGCAAGUCGAGCGGAUGAAGGGAGCUUGCUCCUGGAUUCAGCGGCGGACGGGUGAGUAAUGCCUAGGAAUCUGCCUGGUAGUGGGGGAUAACGUCCGGAAACGGGCGCUAAUACCGCAUACGUCCUGAGGGAGAAAGUGGGGGAUCUUCGGACCUCACGCUAUCAGAUGAGCCUAGGUCGGGUUAGCUAGUUGGUGGGGUAAAGGCCUACCAAGGCGACGAUCCGUAACUGGUCUGAGAGGAUGAUCAGUCACACUGGAACGUAGCCCGGGCCCGGCCCCAUCAGGGAGGAGGCGGGGGGGAUGUUUGAAAAAUGGGAGAAGUUCUAACCGACCUAGGCGGUGUGUGUAAGGAAGGUUUUGGGAUUGAAAAGACUUUUAGGUGGGGAGGAAGGGAAGUAAUUGAAUACCUUGCUGUUUGGACGUUACCAAAAAAAAAAGCCCCGGCUAACUUCGUC
rnacentral:rRNA from 1 species